UAUUUCUUGGAUCCUUCAGAACCCCACUUAUGACUGCUGCUUCUGGUGGAGAGCUUAGUCUGAUAAAGGUUCUUCAGUAUGGUGCUGAUGUUUCCCACAAAGACACUAGUGGAUGGACAGCUGAGGAUUAUGCUGUUAUUCAUGGAUAUUCUAGCAAUAGAUGACUUCUCCCAAGGAGACUCAAUAGGAUGAGACUAAAAAUAUCUAACACCUGAGGAAUGACUUGAGAGACACUUGAGAGAUAAUUGCUUUGCUUUUGAAGAAGCUCUGAGAAAGAGGGGAACAAUGACAGUUGGCAUACCUCUGAGGAAGAGGAACUUGAUUUUACCCCCAAGGAGCUGCAGAAGCCAAACCUGACACUGUUAAUGAGUGCUUCACAGCAGUUCAGGAAAAACAGAUGAUGGUGGUGGUUCUAGAAUUGAAAGUCCUAAGUC